CGACGCGCUCCCCGAGAAGGAUUUUUGACCAGGUCAAAGGUCAGGGAAAUCGGCUACCAACAGAUAUAAAAAUAAAACCACAGAAUACUAACUUAAUACACUUUAAACCACAGGAUACUAAAGCGAAAAAGUGCGAAACUACGUGGUACUAACUUGAUAUAUUUUAAAUAACAGAAUAUUAAAAUAAAAAAUACGAAACCAUUGAAGGGUUUUUGAAAUUUU
rnacentral:lncRNA from 1 species